AUGAGGCGAAAGAAACGAGAGGCGAGAACGGAGAGCCUCUGGUCACAUCAAUUGCAAAUCCCACUUCCACACUUGAUUAGGUUCAGAAUUUGAAUCUCGCAUGUGAUCAAGUUGGAAAGAGGAUUUGCAAUCGAUGUGACCAGAGGCUCUCCGUUCUCGCCUCUCGUUUCUUUUGCCUCGUAA